CUAGCGUCAGACUCCGAAUUGUCUAAAAAAGAUCCUGAAAAAGCCGAAAGGAACGACGUGGCCUGUACUUCGGAGGAGGGCCAGGUUAUACAUGCGUAUACCCCCUUGGAGCCUCCCAAUAAACCUCAAAAAUCUGCAAAAAGACCUCUCAAAAAACGGCCCACUAGACGUACACUUCUUGUGGAAAGCGAAUCUUCCGAGGACGACACCUCCUUCAGCAGAG